GAGCUCGUAGGCGGUUUGUCGCGUCUGCCGUGAAAGUCCGGGGCUCAACUCCGGAUCUGCGGUGGGUACGGGCAGACUAGAGUGAUGUAGGGGAGACUGGAAUUCCUGGUGUAGCGGUGAAAUGCGCAGAUAUCAGGAGGAACACCGAUGGCGAAGGCAGGUCUCUGGGCAUUAACUGACGCUGAGGAGCGAAAGCAUGGGGAGCGAACAGGAUUAGAUACCCUGGUAGUCCAUGCCGUAAACGUUGGGCACUAGGUGUGGGGGACAUUCCACGUUUUCCGCGCCGUAGCUAACGCAUUAAGUGCCCCGCCUGGGGAGUACGGCCGCAAGGCUAAAACUCAAAGGAAUUGACGGGGGCCCGCACAAGCGGCGGAGCAUGCGGAUUAAUUCGAUGCAACGCGAAGAACCUUACCAAGGCUUGACAUGGACCGGACCGCCGCAGAAAUGUGGUUUCCCCUUUGGGGCUGGUUUACAGGUGGUGCAUGGUUGUCGUCAGCUCGUGUCGUGAGAUGUUGGGUUAAGUCCCGCAACGAGCGCAACCCUCGUUCUAUGUUGCCAGCACGUGAUGGUGGGGACUCAUAGGAGACUGCCGGGGUCAACUCGGAGGAAGGUGGGGACGACGUCAAAUCAUCAUGCCCCUUAUGUCUUGGGCUUCACGCAUGCUACAAUGGCCGGUACAAAGGGUUGCGAUACUGUG
rnacentral:rRNA from 1 species